rnacentral:rRNA from 1 species
ACGCAUCGAAAGAUGUGCUAAUACCGCAUAUCUCUGAGGAGAAAAGCAGGGGAUCGCAAGACCUUGCGCUAAAGGAGCGGCCGAUGUCUGAUUAGCUAGUUGGUGGGGUAAAGGCUUACCAAGGCAACGAUCAGUAGUUGGUCUGAGAGGACGGCCAACCACACUGGGACUGAGACACGGCCCAGACUCCUACGGGAGGCAGCAGUGGGGAAUUUUGGACAAUGGGCGAAAGCCUGAUCCAGCCAUGCCGCGUGAGUGAAGAAGGCCUUCGGGUUGUAAAGCUCUUUUAGUCGGAAAGAAAGAGUUGCAAUGAAUAAUUGUGAUUUAUGACGGUACCGACAGAAAAAGCACCGGCUAACUACGUGCCAGCAGCCGCGGUAAUACGUAGGGUGCGAGCGUUAAUCGGAAUUACUGGGCGUAAAGGGUGCGCAGGCGGUCUUGCAAGUCAGAUGUGAAAGCCCCGGGCUUAACCUGGGAAUUGCGUUUGAAACUACAAGGCUAGAGUGCAGCAGAGGGGAGUGGAAUUCCAUGUGUAGCAGUGAAAUGCGUAGAGAUGUGGAAGAACACCGAUGGCGAAAGCAGCUCCCUGGGUUGACACUGACGCUCAUGCACGAAAGCGUGGGGAG